rnacentral:rRNA from 1 species
AACGAACGCUGGCGGCAUGCCUAACACAUGCAAGUCGAACGAGACCUUCGGGUCUAGUGGCGCACGGGUGCGUAACGCGUGGGAACAUGCCUUUAGGUUCGGAAUAACUCAGAGAAAUUUGAGCUAAUACCGGAUGAUGUCUUCGGACCAAAGAUUUAUCGCCUUUAGAUGGGCCCGCGUUGGAUUAGCUAGUUGGUGGGGUAAAGGCCUACCAAGGCGACGAUCCAUAGCUGGUCUGAGAGGAUGAUCAGCCACACUGGGACUGAGACACGGCCCAGACUCCUACGGGAGGCAGCAGUGGGGAAUAUUGGACAAUGGGCGAAAGCCUGAUCCAGCAAUGCCGCGUGAGUGAUGAAGGCCUUAGGGUUGUAAAGCUCUUUUACCCGAGAUGAUAAUGACAGUAUCGGGAGAAUAAGCUCCGGCUAACUCCGUG